rnacentral:rRNA from 1 species
GACAGAGGAUGCAAGCGUUAUCCGGAAUGAUUGGGCGUAAAGCGUCCGUAGGUGGCUUUUAAGUCCGCCGUCAAAUCCCAGGGCUCAACCCUGGACAGGCGGUGGAAACUACCAAGCUGGAGUACGGUACGGGGCAGAGGGAAUUUCCGGUGGAGCGGUGAAAUGCGUAGAGAGUCGGAAAGAACACCAACGGCGAAAGCACUCUGCUGGGCCGACACUGACACUG